rnacentral:rRNA from 1 species
AUACGUAGGGGGCAAGCGUUAUCCGGAUUUACUGGGUGUAAAGGGAGCGUAGACGGAAGGCCAAGUCUGAUGUGAAAGCCCGCGGCUCAACUGCGGGACUGCAUUGGAAACUGGUCAUCUGGAGUGCAGGAGGGGUAAGCGGAAUUCCUAGUGUAGCGGUGAAAUGCGUAGAUAUUAGGAGGAACACCGGUGGCGAAGGCGGCUUACUGGACUGUAACUGACGUUGAGGCUCGAAAGCGUGGGGAGCAAACAGGAUUAGAUACCCUGGUAGUCCACGCUGUAAACGAUGAUUACUAGGUGUAGGGGGUAUCGACUCCCUCUGUGCCGCAGUUAACGCAGUAAGUAAUCCACCUGGGGAGUACGGUCGCAAGAUUAAAACUCAAAUGAAUUGGCGGGG